rnacentral:misc_RNA from 1 species
UGCAUUAAACUCUAACAUUACAAUAUAUAUUGGACUUGGCCUUAAGAAUCAAAUCAUCUCUGUGGUUAAAAUUUUAUGUUUUGAAGGAUUAUAGUAGGAGGAAUGGAAGGACUUCGGUUUUCAAGUGCUGCGGCUUUAUUCUGCAGUAUUUCAUCGCUGGUUGUUUGUGCGAUUGGGCUGUUUAUAAAAUCUUGGUGGUUAAAUGUACAAGAUAAUGAAACAACAUAUGGACUUUUCACAGUUGUACAUUGUGAAAAAUACUUGUGUACACUGGAUGAUGGCUCAAACGAAGGCUGGGUCGUGUUUACGCAGGUUGCAGUCGUGUCCCAGUUUAUCAUGCUGAUUACAGCGGUCAUAUUUCAGACUACUGGGCUUGUGAAGAAAAACUUUUGUCUGAUAAUCGCGGCGUCUGGUUCCCUCGGCUGGGCGUGCUUGUCAUCGGUGCUACAAAUGUGUGUGCUGUCAAAGAUAUACUUAAAGUUGACAGACGCAUACCAGACGACAACAAUUCGACCCGGAAAUUACGUCAUCUAUCAAACACUUCCUCUGGGACUGUGUCUUAUUUCCGGUUCUCUCUGUAUUCCAGCGUUUGUUUGUUUGGUUAUUUAUAGAACCGAGGAGAGGAAAAUGAGGCUAAAGCCAUCCAGUAUUGUUUAAUUUAUGAAAUACUUCCGAUUCUGACAUGAAUAUAGGGAGUAAUUACGUAAGCAAUCUUAAGUCGUUCAAUUUACAUGUUGUACAUGUAUUACCUUUUGCAUUUGUUAAAUUCGCACAAUCUUGGUAUUGUCCUUUCUCUUAUAUAUUACUUUGAAGCAUAUGGUUUAACCAUGAACAAGUUUAAUCAACAAUUUAAUUUGUCGUGUUGGGCUACCCGUGGAAUUUCCACAUGAGGUUUGUGCUUUAAGUGCAUAAAACAUUUGAUAAUGAAACAAAUAAAUAUGUUUUAUCAA